AGUCGCGCAGGACGUCGCCCAGGCGCCGCAGCGCCUCCGCCGCCUCCCCGCGGGGCCGGCCCGCGCUGUAGAGCAGCCCGCGGGCCCGCCGCAGCAGCGGCAGCACGCAGUCCUCCACCUCGCCGCUCAGCGCCAAGGAACUGGCUUGUGCCUGGGGUAAGAGGUACAGAGACAUCCUGACAUCCCUGUGACCAUGAUUUCACCAAGCUGAUGCACUGCGAGGUUAUCAUCAUCUAAAUCUCUGCUCCUGGAAAGAGAAUUCUCUGUUUGAGAUGAAUAAUAGGUUGAAUAUGGUAUGUGACGGCUCUGUAGACUCCGAAGAUAUAACAUGAAGAAAGAUAUUGUUCUGGAAAGCUGGCAUAAGAAUGCUACUGAGGAUUUAGAAGGGUGCUGCGCACCAGACAGGGAAUCAUUCAGAAGACUUUGACCUGGCACGACACUUCACUCCAAACCUGCCAGCAAUCACGGCAGCCUGCCCUGAGUCAGGCUCACGGCUCGAGCGGUGCUGCCGCCUCUCGAGCAUCCUGCGCUGCCUCAGCCGUGCCCACCCGUGACCCCUGCGGAGAAGCACACACUGAGUGGUUCUUCCUGGGGCUGUCCACCAUCCCACGAAAAGCAGUGUUCCCAGGGGAGAGCAAAGCAGCAUCAGCCAGCAGAACCCUUCAGGAGGUCUGGUGAUGAUUGCUUGCCAAGGGACGUGUCUAUGGGGAUGUGAGGAAGAUGGUGCAGUCAGAGGUUGCACAAGUUGCUACCACACACCAGGCUCAACUCUCUGGGCUGUUGCUCCCCUGUUUGGCUGAGCUGCCCAUGCUGCGGGGCAGGACGGUUCCCUGCACAGCCCAGCAUCGCGCCAGCAUUUGCCUAAUAGGCGCCUCAGAGAUGCACCCUGGGAGCCGUGCCGCCUUCCUGAGCAGCAGCUGCUUCUCCCCAGUGAAGAGAGCAGAAGCCAUCAAUUCUUCCUCCUGGCUGACCCUGAAUUGCUCACGCUGCAGGCAGGCCAGGCAGCAUCUGUCUGGGACACCCCUGGUGGGGAUGAAGGUCAGUGGAGAUCCUGGGCUGGUUUGGUCUGACAGGUUUGCCUUUAAAAAUGCACACCGCCGAGGGCAUGCCAGGAGGGGAUGUGCGGAUCUUAUAGGUCUGACAUCUGAAAUAACUCGCCAUUAGCCUUAGAAACACUCCGGCACAGGUGUUGGCGUGGCCCCCCCGGCACGGCUGCCUGCUCCCCCCACAGCUGUACGAUUCAUGAGCUUUCACAUCUCUGUCAUUAGCCCGUUAAUCCAACACCUUGCCCAGCCUCGCAUCGUGGUGAGGAUUUAUGGUUCUCACAGACCAAUUUCAUUAUCCCAGGGGGAAAAUCAGCAUCUUGUUAUGGAUAAAAUGACAAUAAAUGAAACGGCCAUUAAUUUACGAUCUUGCCACACAGUGGCACUCAAACAGAUUCCUAUUAAUGGCUUGUUAUUAUCACCUCCCAUACUGGGCUAAUAACAGUUCAUGGGAAAAACUGCACCUGAGCCCAGGGAAGGUGCUGGCUGCUGGAGCGUGCAGGACCCCUGUCCCCGUCCCAUGGUGGCAGGCUGACUCCUGUCCCCAUGCCGUGGUGGCAAUGGAGUGGAGCAGCUGCCCCGCAGCAGCGAUUGAUCAGCUGGGAGUGGAGGCUGCUGCACAAAAUGGGGAGGAACAGCUGCCAGCUGGGAGAGCUUCUGGGGAGGGUAUAAAAAGCUGAUUUUUCUGUUUGCUUGCGGCUCAAAAAGCCCAGAAACAUUGGCUUGGCAUUAAAGAACUUCUCAAAAACUUCAGCACAGCAAAAAGCACUGUAAAACAUGAAACAAAGACUAACCUUUCUAUGUGGUCAAAGAACUUAAUUUGGUUCAAGAAAGACAGAUUGUACUUUUUAAGAACAUUAAAUGGCGUCAGAUGCAAAAGCCCCGAAACUUCUGCGUAAAAUACUGUCCUUUUUAAAGUGAAAUAAAUUGGCAAAACCAAACUCAAUCCGAGAGAAGUUUCAGUGUCAUAAAAUUUGCUUCUUUGCCAUAAUAUGUUUCAUCUGAAGAGCCUCUCCUGGCUGCUUUCUCACGCCUGGGUGGGUCCUGCACUCAGAGCUUGCCGAGGGUCCCCAGCCGGGACACGAUGCUGGAGAUGCUCACAGCUCCCCCGUGCUGCCCUCGCACCUCUGAACGCUGCUGCAGCCCUGGGCCUGUGCUGGGGAUGGGGGUCCAAGGGUGCGUGGUGGGGGACGGGAGAGCCCCGUGUGGCGGGGCUGAGGGCAGCGCGGCUUCGGUAACCGCGCUCUCAACAGCCCAACCCGCUGCUUCUGCUCAGGGUACAUUUUGUCUAAUGUGUGCUUUGCUAAACACAUUUUUUCGCGUGACAAGUGAACAUGCUAGGAAUUGGUCUUCAUAAACACAUUUUUACAGUAAUAUAACAGUAUAAAUAAAUGCUCCAGCAUAUCUCCCAGUGUCACUUUUAUUUACAUUUUAAGUGACCUGUUAUUACUGACCCCUCUGCCAUAAACACCUAAUAGAGAGGAGACCACUGGGCAAACAAGGCCGAUGUGGAAGUGCAUUAUGCUAAAUAAUUCAUAACAAGCACCGUGGUUGUUGCAGUGAUAUAUGUAAAUAGAGGAUCCUUAUUUUUCAACUUACAAUCUGUGUUGGUUUAUGAAUUUUAAAAGGAGAAAGUCUUCAUUUGCUAGUGCAGAACUGAAGAGUGUUUCUUGUUCCCUGAAGUCCCAUAUCCAGUAGCCAGCUUCACAGGACCGACUGUGAUGGGAAGAAUGUGCUCAUGGACCUCUUUCUGCAUUAGCACGUUUUAAAUCUGUUUAUUCACAUGUUCUGUGUGUGGCUUGGUGACAGUCCCUGUGGGUGCCACCUGCAGACCCAGAGGAUGGAAACUGGCACCAGGGGUGGGGUGCGCGGGGCAGCAAAGGCGGUUUGUGGCGUGGAGGAGCCGUGCGGGACAGCCGGUGGGAGGAAACACAGAGCUGCUGCGUGGGGCAACAGCAGGAGGAACUCAGAGAAGAAUUUGCCUUUGUUUUAGCUGUUCUUAAUGGCACCUGCAAGUUUUCCUGGGGUUCAGGUUCCACUCAGUCAGGUCUCUGUGCUCCCUGCAAGCACGGCAAUGAAAUUCAGGUGAUGAUCAGGGCGCGCAUCACUUCGAUACAGCAAAAGUGUUAACAAAGUCAUUAGUGUGUGACCCGAGUGUGCAGCGUGGCCUCUGCAGCUGCUGCUGGGCUCCUUGAUGGGGCGGCAGCUGGAGCAGACACAGUUCUGCAGCUGCAGCCCAUCAGGUCAUGGAGCUGUAGGGCUCGGCUUUAAAAGGGGAGGGACACCCCUCAUCUCAGUGCUGUUACUGGGCUGCUGCUGGGCUUACUGAGCUGCUUCUGGGCUGUUACUGGGCUUACUGAACUGCUGCUGGGCUUCCCCCUGCUCACCCUGGUGGCCAGCGGCGCUGGACACUUGCUUGCCAGGUGUCUUCUUGAGCCUUUCAACUGUGUUUUGUGGCUCUUGUUGCCUCUCUACAACUUCCAUACGUCAUUGCGGCGUGGGAGAGGAACCGAUGUGAUAUUCCCACCACACCUCCCCAAAGCUGUGUGCAGAAGUCCUCCUGGCUGCUCCUGACUGGCGCCGCUGCACGUCAGCCCUUUGGCCACCAGCUCAUGCUGGGGCCUCACUCCGUGUUGAUUGUCAGUGCAUCUCGAGUCUCUGCAAGUGGAUCUCCUCUGGGAUCCGGCUGCUGCCUCCACAGCUCGCACACACACUGGACAGUCCCAGCUGGGGCAGCGCUGCUGUGGUGUCACUGCCCGAAUGCCAGGGGUGCCCUGACCCCCGCCUGCCUCGCCAGCAGCCCUGCCGAGCUCACAGGCUGUGCCAGCCCCGAGGAACCAGCCCCCGAGCCGCUGGCACAGCCACGCCGGCACUGUUUGCGGGGGCUCACGGCACGCGGCGCCGCUUGGCUUCGCCGGCUCAAAGCAAUUUCGGUCCUGGGCACGGAGAUGUGUGUUCAGUGUGACAUCGUUUCACCAGGGAUAAAUUUGGCCCCAUCUCUCCAAUUUUAGUGUAAGAUUUAUUGUUGGUCAGUGCUCAGCCAUGAAAAAGGUUGUGAAAAAGGCUGGAAAUGCAUAUUUCUAACCCCAGUGCAGUCAAAAUUGUUUUGACUAAGCCUCACUACCAUUCUCUACAGAAGCGCUGCGAUACUGUUCACUGGGAAUAUCUCAGUGUCGUCUCCCAGCUGUAAUUACAGCAUUAAUCACAGGCAGAGUGAAGCAGCGCCAGCCUGAGUGCCCUGUCUCACGGGCUGCACAGGCGGCUAGCGGCGGGGCCGAGUCCACCUCUCCCUCCUAGGAUGCUCAAGUGAUGGUGGCCUGUUCCCAGCCCAGGUUUCCCUCAACAUACGGGUACAAGUCACCUGAGUGCUACAACAGCUCAUUCAUCUCCCACCGACAUAGGAGGGAGGGAAACGAGACUGCGCAGGCACCCGUGCAAAGUGUUUCCAUCCAGCUCUGCCUUGCUGAGUGCUGAGUAAUAUCUAUGGAAGUUUUAUGACUGCCAAUAAUACAUGCUAUUGAUAUUGCAGGCUACGGUUCCUGGAAAAGCCAGUUUGAUACAGAAAGAGGAAGACAGUGCCGUGCACACAGCCCAGUUCACCUUAAAUACUGAUUUGAUUCAACUGGGCUGUUCAAACCAUUCCCGUUUCCCAAAGAUGGGCCCUUCCUGAGAAGGAAGACCAUGAACACGGAAUAUUAAAAUGUACCAGUAUGGAGCUGAGCUACACAUAGUGAGGAGUCCUUUUGCACCUUCCGGAAAAUUUACUUCUACCUGUAAAAAAACCCUGACAAUAAUGCCAGUCCAAGUGAAAGCACUGCUGCUGUAUCAUGCUAAAAGCUUUUCAGGGUAGAACAGUAAAUAAAUUCCACUCUUCAGAUGUAUCUGGAUGUUAUCCUAACAGUGCCGAGUAAUAGGCAAGCCAUCAACAGCUAAAAGGCUGGGAAUUGUCACAGAGGGACAACAGAGGAGCGAUAUCUGCAGCAGAGAUUGAACACCAGCAGUAAUUGUGCACAUCCCGCUGCUGAGCUCUGGCACUGCGGGCGGUGGGGAAGGAGCUGGACUUGCCCCAUGGCACAGAGCCUUUUGGCACAAGGAGCUGGGCCCUCCUGCCACCCAGACCCCUGCAGCCACCUGUUGGAGAUCUGUCUGGGGAUGGGACGGGUCUGUGCAGACCCACGGGUGCCACAGACAGAGGCUGACCCAGGGGAGGGGAACAGGACGAGGACACGCUCCUGGGGGACAGCAGAUGCUGGAGGUAGCCACGCCAGUCCCAGAUCCCUCCAUAUAGACAUUGGGUAGCCAGAUCUUCCCAACUGCAUCAACCUCUCAGCUGUCCAAAACACAGUAUCAGAGUUUUCAAUGCACAGUGAGGCAGCGGGUGCAUCCGGGCGCAGAGCCCAGCAGCUGCCCUGGGCAGAACCCGGCUGCGGGCACAGCGAUCCCCGACUGCCCCGUCCCCCCCGCUCCCUGCAGCGCCCGUCUCCCCGCUCAGCACCACAGACAAGCCGGCUGCAGCAGCGCCCACAUCCCCAUGGCACCAAGAGGUGACACUGCACCAUGGUGGCCCCAGCGUCACACCAGCCCUGUGGUGUCUGAGGGCUCCCCAAGUCCCUGCACGGCUGCCCCGGCCGGACUCCCUGCUUCUAUCCCAGAGUUGCUCUGCUGCCCGGAGAGAGCAAUGCCAGCCAGGCUGUUGCCAAGGGCACAGCUAUUUAUUAUGUGCUUCUGUCGAUUAUUUUGGGGUUUAAGUUCAUUUAUUAUGUAUGCAAAAAUGGUAAUACACUGGCAUCUGAAUGUCUUUUAGGCAUACAAUAUCCUUAUUAUUCAAAAUGUUUUUUCCUCCAUAAUUGAAUGGUUUACCUUAUUAUUACUUUAUGUUAAUGACCCUGCAUUUCCAUUUUUCUAUAGGAUGCUUAAUUGUAAGCAAAGUGCAAUCAGAAUCAAAGAUGCCAUCUGUAAUUGACAGCAUCAUAAUAACAGCCAGCAUCGCAGGAACAAAGUACCAAAAUAAAUGGCAGUGGGGAGAAAGCUGCCUCUGAAACACCCAGGAAUCUGCUCUGGGCUGGGACAGAGCCCAUCCACGCAGGAGCCUCCCCCUGAGCAGUGACAGUUUGGGCAUUAACACAGAUAGAGUGCUGUUUAUAUCAGUUUGUACAUUUAAUCAGUUUUUUUUGCAGUUUUCAGCGAGAUGUGAACUAUAUCCCUGUCCAAGGCAUUUGGUUCAAAUCAGCUGAGACAGAGAAUAAUCAAGAUUUAUGAUUCUCAUUCUGACUCGGAUCACACAGUCAGUGCGAUCGGUACAGAAGAGCUUCCUCUCCGAGCCCCAGUGACAGACCUUCACUCUCCCCCGCACAAGUGAUUUAACGUCCAUCUCGGGACCUGUCACAACGUGGCUGCAGCUCCAGAUAACAGCGACUCUGGGCUUCCCCCCUCCCCUCCUGGGCGGCGGCGCUGGGGGCACCACGACCGAGCUGGGGGUUGUUUGGCAGAAAUCAAUAAAAUAGCACUUUGCAAAAUAAAA